AACAGGAUUAGAUACCCUGGUAGUCCACGCUGUAAACGAUGUCGACUUGGAGGUUGUGCCCUUGAGGCGUGGCUUCCGGAGCUAACGCGUUAAGUCGACCGCCUGGGGAGUACGGCCGCAAGGUUAAAACUCAAAUGAAUUGACGGGGGCCCGCACAAGCGGUGGAGCAUGUGGUUUAAUUCGAUGCAACGCGAAGAACCUUACCUACUCUUGACAUCCAGAGAAUUUGCUAGAGAUAGCUCAGUGCCUUCGGGAACUCUGAGACAGGUGCUGCAUGGCUGUCGUCAGCUCGUGUUGUGAAAUGUUGGGUUAAGUCCCGCAACGAGCGCAACCCUUAUCCUUUGUUGCCAGCACGUAAUGGUGGGAACUCAAAGGAGACUGCCGGUGAUAAACCGGAGGAAGGUGGGGAUGACGUCAAGUCAUCAUGGCCCUUACGAGUAGGGCUACACACGUGCUACAAUGGCUUAUACAAAGAGAAGCGACCUCGCGAGAGCAAGCGGACCUCAUAAAGUAUGUCGUAGUCCGGAUUGGAGUCUGCAACUCGACUCCAUGAAGUCGGAAUCGCUAGUAAUCGUGGAUCAGAAUGCCACGGUGAAUACGUUCCCGGGCCUUGUACACACCGCCCGUCACACCAUGGGAGUGGGUUGCAAAAGAAGUAGGUAGCUUAACCUUCGGGAGGGCGCUUACCACUUUGUGAUUCAUGACUGGGGUGAAGUCGUAACAAGGUAACC
rnacentral:rRNA from 1 species